UUUGAAUUGCCUAUGAUGAUAAAAACAAUUAUCUUAGCGGAUUUCAGUGAGGUUUUUUUAAAAUCAAUGAUCUGAAUUGUUACACACACUGAGGCUUUAUUAGUUUGAUUUGUUUUUGUUUAUUGGGGAAAU
rnacentral:sRNA from 1 species